AACACGUAUGCAACCUACCUUGUACAGGAGUAUAGCUCGGGGAAACUCGAAUUAACCCUCCAUAAUAUGUCGAUGUGGCAUCACAUUGAUAUUAAAACUACGGUGGUACAAGAUGGGCAUGCGUUUGAUUAGCUAGUUGGCGGUGUAAUGGACCACCAAGGCGAUGAUCAAUAGGGGAACUGAGAGGUUGAUCCCCCACACUGGCACUGAGAUACGGGCCAGACUCCUACGGGAGGCAGCAGUAGGGAAUAUUGGUCAAUGGAUGGAAGUCUGAACCAGCNAUGCCGCGUGCAGGAAGAAGGCCUUNUGGGUUGUAAACUGCUUUUGCCGGGGGAUAAAAAUUCUUUGCGAAGAAAAUUGAAANUACCUGGNGAAUAAGCACCGGCUAACUACGUGCCAGCAGCCGCG
rnacentral:rRNA from 1 species